GUGUUGCAAAAUCUUGGCAAAGAUCAGUAUCCACAACAGUCACUUGAACAAAUUGGCACUCGAAUUGCCAAAGUUUUGGAAAAGCUUGGAUAUAUUCAGGUGGUGCUACUAAGAACUAUGGAAUCUAGGUAUGGGAGAUAAGUUAGGUGUUCCUCUUCUGGUGAUAAAGAAUAUUUGUUAUUUUGGAUGGUGGGUGGGAAUCACAUCUUGAAGUGGCUUUUUUCUUUGAAAUCAUGAAACAAGGUAUUUACAAAACUAUAUUUUUAUUCAGUCUACAAAAAAUAUAAUUGACAGUCUUUAAGAUUAUCCAUCUGUCUCUGUAUGAUGCUUUUAUAAGGAAGAGGUUUUUAAAUUUUUAAUUAUUUACAGUUAAGAGUCUCUCCAUUUUAUUAAUAUAUGAUAUUGAAGAGGUAAUAUAAUAGUGAUUAAAGAAAUCAAUUCAACUUCUGUGGAGUUCCCGAGUGGCUUAGUGGGGUAAGGAUCCAGCAUUGUCACUGCCACGGUGUGGGUUUGAUCCCUGGCCUAGAAACUUCUGCAUGCCAUGGGCGUGGCCAAAAAAAAAAAAAAGAAUCAACUCAGCUUCCAGUAUGAACAUGACAGUAUGGUAUAAAUAGGAAAAUCGCGUCAGUUUAAAAGAGAGGAAGUGGAAGGCACACA
rnacentral:lncRNA from 1 species